UACGGAGGGGGCUAGCGUUGUUCGGAAUUACUGGGCGUAAAGCGUACGUAGGCGGCUUUGUAAGUUAGAGGUGAAAGCCCGGGGCUCAACCCCGGAAUUGCCUUUAAGACUGCAUCGCUUGAAUCGCGGAGAGGUGAGUGGAAUUCCGAGUGUAGAGGUGAAAUUCGUAGAUAUUCGGAAGAACACCAGUGGCGAAGGCGGCUCACUGGCUCGAUACUGACGCUGAGGUGCGAAAGCGUGGGGAGCAAACAGG
rnacentral:rRNA from 1 species